rfam:Orchesella cincta Ocin01_Sc2578, whole genome shotgun sequence.
CCAACAGCCCUUUUAAGGGCUACCCAAUUUUCCUAAGAGCAAACAA